GACGAACGCUGGCGGCGUGCCUAAUACAUGCAAGUUGAGCGCUGAAGGUUGGUACUUGUACCGACUGGAUGAGCAGCGAACGGGUGAGUAACGCGUGGGGAAUCUGCCUUUGAGCGGGGGACAACAUUUGGAAACGAAUGCUAAUACCGCAUAAAAACUUUAAACACAAGUUUUAAGUUUGAAAGAUGCAAUUGCAUCACUCAAAGAUGAUCCCGCGUUGUAUUAGCUAGUUGGUGAGGUAAAGGCUCACCAAGGCGAUGAUACAUAGCCGACCUGAGAGGGUGCUCGGCCACAUUGGGACUGAGACACGGCCCAAACUCCUACGGGAGGCAGCAGUAGGGAAUCUUCGGCAAUGGACGAAAGUCUGACCGAGCAACGCCGCGUGAGUGAAGAAGGUUUUCGGAUCGUAAAACUCUGUUGGUAGAGAAGAACGUUGGUGAGAGUGGAAAGCUCAUCAAGUGACGGUAACUACCCAGAAAGGGACGGCUAACUACGUG
rnacentral:rRNA from 1 species